rnacentral:rRNA from 1 species
AGUUUGAUCCUGGCUCAGGAUGAACGCUAGCUACAGGCUUAACACAUGCAAGUCGAGGGGAAACGACAUCGAAAGCUUGCUUUUGAUGGGCGUCGACCGGCGCACGGGUGAGUAACGCGUAUCCAACCUGCCCACCACUUGGGGAUAACCUUGCGAAAGUAAGACUAAUACCCAAUGACGUCUCUAGAAGACAUCUGAAGGAGAUUAAAGAUUUAUCGGUGAUGGAUGGGGAUGCGUCUGAUUAGCUUGUUGGCGGGGUAACGGCCCACCAAGGCUACGAUCAGUAGGGGUUCUGAGAGGAAGGUCCCCCACAUUGGAACUGAGACACGGUCCAAACUCCUACGGGAGGCAGCAGUGAGGAAUAUUGGUCAAUGGGCGAGAGCCUGAACCAGCCAAGUAGCGUGCAGGAUGACGGCCCUAUGGGUUGUAAACUGCUUUUAUAAGGGAAUAAAGUGAGCCUCGUGAGGCUUUUUGCAUGUACCUUAUGAAUAAGGACCGGCUAAUUCCGUGCCAGCAGCCGCGGUAAUACGGAAGGUCCGGGCGUUAUCCGGAUUUAUUGGGUUUAAAGGGAGCGUAGGCCGGAGAUUAAGCGUGUUGUGAAAUGUAGACGCUCAACGUCUGCACUGCAGCGCGAACUGGUUUCCUUGAGUACGCACAAAGUGGGCGGAAUUCGUGGUGUAGCGGUGAAAUGCUUAGAUAUCACGAAGAACUCCGAUUGCGAAGGCAGCUCACUGGAGCGCAACUGACGCUGAAGCUCGAAAGUGCGGGUAUCGAACAGGAUUAGAUACCCUGGUAGUCCGCACGGUAAACGAUGGAUGCCCGCUGUUGGUCUGAAUAGGUCAGCGGCCAAGCGAAAGCAUUAAGCAUCCCACCUGGGGAGUACGCCGGCAACGGUGAAACUCAAAGGAAUUGACGGAAUGGCUUUAAG